CUACGGGGGGCUCCAGUGAGGAAUUUUGCGCAAUGGGGGAAACCCUGACGCAGCAACGCCGCGUGAGCGAAGAAGGCCCUCGGGUCGUAAAGCUCUGUCAAGUGGGAAAAAAAUCUUUUGAUCAAUAGUCAAAAGACUUGAUGGUACCACUGGAGGAAGCACCGGCUAACUCCGUGCCAGCAGCCGCGGUAAUACGGAGGGUGCAAGCGUUGUUCGGAUUUACUGGGCGUAAAGAGCGUGUAGGCGGUUUAGCAAGUCAGAUGUGAAAGCCCUGGGCUCAACCCGGGAAGUGCAUUUGAACUGCUUCACUAGAGUAUGGGAGAGGAGAUUGGAAUUCCUGGUGUAGAGGUGAAAUUCGUAGAUAUCAGGAGGAACACCCGUGGCGAAGGCGAUUCUCUGGAACAAUACUGACGCUGAGACGCGAAAGCGUGGGGAGCAAACAGGAUUAGAUACCCUCGUAGUC
rnacentral:rRNA from 1 species